AAAGAAAGCGUAAUAGCUCGACUGGUCGAGUCGGCCGCGCGGAAGAUGUAACGGGGCUAAACCAUGCACCGAAGCUGCGGCAGCGACACUUAUGUGUUGUUGGGUAGGGGAGCGUUCUGUAAGCCUGCGAAGGUGUACUGUGAGGUAUGCUGGAGGUAUCAGAAGUGCGAAUGCUGACAUAAGUAACGAUAAUGCGGGUGAAAAACCC
rnacentral:rRNA from 1 species